AUGGGCAUGGCAACAGGGCAUGUUUCGGGUGAUCAUCACUCCAACCUGCUGCUGAACCUUCACCCCGUGGUUAGACCUCUCAUUUCUACGGGCUGGGGUUCCCCUAGAACCAGUGUUCAGACAUGUUGUUGUGUCAACAGAUGCCUCUGCCACGGGCUGGGGUGCCAUGUGCAAUGGGCAUGCUGCGUCAGGUUCCUGGACAGGACCCCGACUUCAGUGGCAUGUCAAUUGCCUCAAGUUGCUAGCAGUAUGGCUUACUCUGCACCGCUUCAGAGCCCUGCUGAGGGACAAGCACAUUCUGGUCCGUACGGACAACACUGUGACCGUAGCGUACAUCAACCGUCAGGGCGGUCUAAGCUCCCGUCGCAUGUCGCAACUCGCUCGCCAUCUCCUCUUGUGGAGUCAGAAGCAUCUGAGAUCGCUUCGUGCCAUUCACAUACCGGGCAGGCUCAAUCGUGCAGUCGACGAGCUUUCAUGUCAGGAGUCUCGCCCUGGGGAAAGGAGACUCCACCCCCAGUCGGUUCAGCUGAUUUGGGAACGCUUCGGAGAUGCUCAGGUAGACCUGUUUGCCUCUCCAGAGAAUUCCCACUGCCAGUUGUUUUACUCCCUGACCGAGGGCACCCUUGGCACAGACGCUCUGGCGCACAGCUGGCCACUGGGCCUGCGCAAGUAUGCGUUUCCCCCAGUGAGCCUUCUUGCACAGAUGUUGUGCAAGAUCAGGGAGGACGAGGAGCAGGUCCUUGUGGUUGUGCCUUAUUGGCCAGGCCGGACCUGGUUCCCCGAACUCGUACUCCUCGCAACAGCCCCUCCCUGGCCAAUUCCUCUGAGGAAGGACCUUCUUUCUCAGAGACGGGGCACCCUCUGGCACCCGCGUCCCGAUCUUUGGAACCUACAUGUGUGGGUUCUGGAUGGGUCAUGGAAGGUUUAGGUACCUUGCCGCCUCAGGUGGUAGCUACCAUCACUUCAGCUAGGGCCUUGUCUACCAGACACGCCUAUGCCCUGAAGUGGAACCUCUUCGACGCUUGGUGUUAUUCACGUCGUGAAGACCCUUUGGAGAUGCCCGAUCGGGUCAGUGCUUUCCUUUCUUCAGGAAGGGUUGGAACGAAGGCUGUCUCCUUCCACCCUGAAGGUCUAUGUGGCCGCCAUUGCGGCCCACCAUGA
rnacentral:lncRNA from 12 species